UGUAUUUUAUUUAGAUAUAGGGUCUCACUGAGUUGCUUAGCACCUCAUUUUUGCUCGACUGGCUUUAAACUCAAGAUCCUCCUGCCUCAGCCUCCAGAGCCACUGGGAUUUUAGACAUGUGCCACCACUGACUACAGCUGCAUUUUAAAUGUCCUGUUGAAACUUUAGUCUCCUUCUUGAAGGGAUAUCAGAUUUUAAGGUCUAUCAAGUUGACUAUUGUGAGACUAUUUGUUUUGUCCUCAGGUUUAGUAUGUAAUUUCUAAUCUAAAGGGUAUUUCUAUAAGAAAAAAGUCCUCUGUCGCCCUUUGCCAGUGGUAUAAUAAUUUAUUCUCUAACUUUAAUUCUUGAAGUUAUUUUUCCUUUGAUUUAUAGUAUUUCUGAUCUCCUUCUUCUAUCUUUAGGGCAGUAGUGCAUUGGCCUCUCCUGAAUACAUCUUUAAGGUUGCAAGAAAAGAUGUUUUGACUUUGAAAUAUAUUUUUAAGUACCCCUUAAUGUUUUAGAGAAAAGAUGUAAAGUAUAUAUUUGGACUAUAUUAAUACACACACUGGUAUUUUCCAAUCCACAUUCAGGUCCACAAGUUUGGGCAAUAUUCAUUGUGAUCCAAAAAUGAGUGGUCCUAUACCAUAGUCCUCACUGCUUGGAUUUUUGACAAUAAAUAUUGUGUUUUAACGAAACUCAAGAAAGUUAUUGGAUCAGUAAGACAUUAUUUCUAAUCAUACCUUGAAAAACUUUAGAAAAGUUUUCUUUUAAUACUCAUACAUAUUCCAAUAACAGCAAAUAAUAUAGCCAGGGAAUUUUUGAAAAGAUGCUUCUAGGAUUUUGUUUUAACUUUAAGAGAAUUCUUCCAUUUCAUGCUAUCUCUUUUCAUUAGUAUCUCUUAGUGAAUGUAACUUUCUCACCUAAAAUAUUUGUAAACAAAACAAUGAAACAUAUUUUGUUUUGUUUUGUUUUAAAUUUUGUCUCUAAGACCUGCAUCUAUGAACAGCACAUCAGGGCCCCAAUUGUUAAAGAUCUUCCAAAUUCUUGGCAGAGUAAAAUUAAUGCUAGUGAGCAAUCUACAGUCAUAUUUUAGCAAACAGCUUUAAGAAACCAAAUCAUGAUAGAUAAAUGUUGACAGUAUUUUACAUAAGCUUGUUAACAAUUAUAUGAAAAACAUUUUAGUUAAAGCUAAGAACAAUGCACUAUUUAGCAUAGAUUUUUGUAGGACUCCACAUUCUUUUAAUGAGCAUUUCACAGUUAUUGUUUAUUUUGCUUAUUUUUUGCAAAUCAAUAUCUAUCUAUAUAUAUACAUAUAUACGUGUGUGUGUGUGUGUGUGUGUGUGUGUGUGUGUGUAUGUGUAUAAUGGAUAAUGUUCCUUUAUAAAAUUCCUGGGUAAAUUGUUUACAAAUAGAAAAACAGUAAAGCUGAAUUACUUUACAUUUCUCCAAAUAUAGAUCAAUUUUUAAUCCAUUCAGAGUUUGUGCAUAAGCCAUCUAUAAUUCCAAAAUGUUCCACUGAAUGAGUAUAUCGUGCAAAUGUUAAUUUCUCCUUAUUCAGUUUUAUAUUAUUAUUAUUUAUUAUUAUAUAUUAUUGACAUUUUUAUGGCAAAACAAAUGCUUAAUGUUAUUCAUGUAUGUGUUACCAUUUUAAGCCAUUUUAAAUAAUACACCAAAUGACUAUUACAAGGAUCACUGUCCCAAGAUGCAAAGAAAGAUUUUAAUUUUUUUCUUUUCUUUAUGAGUUGUUAGGAUGAAAAAUCUUAAAGCUGUGUUGAUUUUGCAGGUCAGUAUUUAUUUCUUACUUUGUUAUGUGAAUAUGCAUGAAAGAGAAGAAAGGGAUUGGCUUCUGAUUCAUUCAUUCAUUUAUAUUCUCCGCGCCCCCAUCUCUUUUCUCCUCCACUUCCUUCCCUCCCCACCUUUUUCCCUCCUUCUCUCUUUCUCUAAGUCUAAGGGAAUUGGGAAAUUGCCACUAAAGAUUUUUCCCUGAAAAGCCAAGUGUUAGUAUGAUAUUAUGCUGAUCCAUCUAUGAGCAGAGUUCCACUAUAGUCAAGCAGUAAUUUACAGCUCUGGCUCUUUGAAUACUACUGUAUUUUAGUUAAGAAGUCUUUUUGUUUGUUUUUCACUUGGAUAGGAAGAGAUCUGUAUGAAUGAAAUGGUCAAAUUUUCAUUUACAUUCCUACUAAGAGACACAAUGUAAGACAUUGAUUUUUUUUUAACUUGUACAAUAAGAAACUAGAAAAGGAACUCAAGAGAAAUUUUGCUGUGGUCUAAAGAUCUCAGAGGAGACCAGCAAAGCUGCAGACACUUGCUGCCUGCAGAGCUGAGCAGAGCUUUUGCUGAGCGCUGGGGAUGAACACAAAGUGUUGACUUGUUGGAGAUAAUCGUGAGACCAUCUUAACUUUACUUGCCUUAUAAGUUAGAAAAAGUGUGGAUAUCACUUUUUUGUAAAUACUGAUUUUUAUAAAUGUUUUUCCUUCCUAACUUGCCCUAUCACUCAUUUCACAAAAUCUUGAAUAUGCAAUUAUUUGUCAUGACACAUUACUGCAAAUAAGGUUCCCAUUUCAGAAUAAAGUUUAAUUCUACCUGUGAGUAAGCUGUUAUAGAAAUGUGAUUUUUUUUUCUGGAAAAAAAUUAAAAUAAAUUGAGUUGUGAACCUCUUUUA